UUUCCGUAGGUGAACCUGCGGAAGGAUCAUUAAUGAAAACUAGGAUGCUCUUUUUAGAGGUCCGACCAUUUCAUUUUCCUUACCCUGUGAACAAACUUCAUUUUUUUACACCUUUUUAACCCUGUCAGUAUAAAGAAUGUAAACAGACUCUUAAUUGAGCAUAAAUUAAUAAAACUUUCGGCAACGGAUCUCUUGGUUCCCGCAUCGAUGAAGAACGCAGC
rnacentral:misc_RNA from 1 species